CGACAUUCUGCUGGCGGUGGAGUACCAUCAAGAUUACCUGAAGAGCAUCAAUGACUCCGAUGUGGUGGGGACGAGGAACAUGACGAGUGCUAAUCAUUCCCUGUCCGAGGAGAUGGUGGUGCUGGUGGAUGGCAAGGAGGAGGAAGCAGGAUUCCUCGCCAACCUAACAGACAACCCAGACAAGAUCAAUUUCCUACUCACCGUUUUCUUCAUCCUGCUGCUAAUUACCCUGUUGUCCACUUGGAAUCUGUACAUUCAUGUGACGCAGCAAGAUAUCCUUCCCAUUUUCAAACUGCUACCUUCGUUUUUGCGUGUAUCGUUGUAAACGCUCAUAUUUCUCACCCCCCUGGCCCCCGUCAUGGCGUACCUCGAAAAUACUUACGCGCAGAUGAAUUACAUGAACGUCACAGUGCGUCAGAUGCAGGAGGUUGGGGUAUGUACUGUCUAUGGGGUGCUUUGGGGUGAAUGUGUGCGUUUUGGGGUGUUUUUGGUUUGUUUUUGGUGCUUUUUGGGUGUGUUUGGGGUGUUUUGGUGUGUUUUGGAUGUUUUGGGGUGUUUUGGGGUGUUUUUGGGUAUGUGGGGUGUUUUUGGGUGUUUUUGGGGUGUUUUUGGGUGUGUUUUGGUUUGUUUUGGAGUGUUUUUCAAUAUUUUUGGGGUGUUUGGUGUGUUUUUGGGGUGUUCAAGGGUGUUCUUGGGUGUUUUUGGAAUAUUUUUCUGGGGUGUUUUGUAUAUUUUAAGGUGUUUUUUAGUGUUUAAGGGUGUUUGGGUGGGAGUUUCCAAGUGGAUAGGGUUUUUUUUUUAGUUUGAGUUGAUAGGUGUUUUUUUUUUUUUAUUUAUUUAAUUAUUUUAUUUUUAUUUAUUUGUUUUGUUUAUUUUAUUUAUUUAUUUUUUUUUUUUUUUUUGUGGGAGCUCUGUGUGUGUGUGUGUGUGUGUGUGUGUGUGUGUGUGUGUGUGUGUGUGUGUGUGUGUGUGUGUGUGUGAGGUUAAAAGAGGAGGAGAAGGAGGAGGGAGAGAGGAAGGGAGGGAGGGAAGGUAGAUAUUGAGAAAACUUACUUAAAAUUCUCUCUCUCUCUCUCUCUCUCUCUCUCUCUCUCUCUCUCUCUCUCUCUCUCUCUCUCUCUCUCUCUCUCUCUCUC